UGGGGAAUAUUGGACAAUGGGCGAAAGCCUGAUCCAGCCAUGCCGCGUGUGUGAGGAAGGCCUUUUGGUUGUAAAGCACUUUAAGCGAGGAGGAGGCUACUUGGAUUAAUACUCUAGGAUAGUGGACGUUACUCGCAGAAUAAGCACCGGCUAACUCUGUGCCAGCAGCCGCGGUAAUACAGAGGGUGCGAGCGUUAAUCGGAUUUACUGGGCGUAAAGCGUGCGUAGGCGGCUUCUUAAGUCGGAUGUGAAAUCCCUGAGCUUAACUUAGGAAUUGCAUUCGAUACUGGGAAGCUAGAGUAUGGGAGAGGAUGGUAGAAUUCCAGGUGUAGCGGUGAAAUGCGUAGAGAUCUGGAGGAAUACCGAUGGCGAAGGCAGCCAUCUGGCCUAAUACUGACGCUGAGGUACGAAAGCAUGGGGAGCAAACAGG
rnacentral:rRNA from 1 species